AUUGAACGCUGGCGGCAGGCCUAACACAUGCAAGUCGAACGAGUGGCGGACGUGUGAGUAAUGUCUGGGAAACUGCCUGAUGGAGGGGGAUAACUACUGGAAACGGUAGCUAAUACCGCAUACCAUCGGAUGUGCCCAGAUGGGAUUAGCUUGUUGGUGGGGUAACGGCUCACCAAGGCGACGAUCCCUAGCGGGUCUGAGAGGAUGACCAGCAAAACGGGAACUGAGACACGGUCCAGACUCGUACGGUAGGCAGCAGUGGGGAAGAUGGGACAAUGGGAGCAAGCCUGAUGCAGCCAGUCCGCGUGUAUGAAGAAGGCCUUCGGGUUGUAAAGUACUUUCAGCGGGGAGGCGUUACCCGCAGAAGAAGCACCGGCGAACUCCGUGCCAGCCGCCGCGGUAAUAC
rnacentral:rRNA from 1 species